CACAAAUAUGGCGCCUCCACCCGUUUUCCCAACCCCUACAUACCGUGGCUGCAUAAAGUGCGAGAGCGAGAGUAGAGAGUAACAAGGGGUAGGGAUAGGAAGGAAGAAAGGGCAAGAGAGAGUAACCAUGCUUUCUCUUCUCUCUCUCUCUCACUCCUUCCGUGAAUAGAAUAUAUGUAGACGCACGUAUCUCACUCUCACUCCCUCAUCACGGUUGCGAACGUACAUGCGCAAGUAGUGAAGACCGGGUUGCUCGCGUGUGUGGUAAGGGGAUGCCCCUAUGUGAAUAUCGCGCAGCACACAGUCCCAAGCAGUUUCCUACUUGAUUGCCGCUAUCGUCCAGCAGCCUCGUAAGGGAAGCCGUCCGCGUGGAUUCUGUUACUACACCUCGACCAAUCAGAACGUUCAAAGUCGAGCCUUGGCCAAUCGUAGCCUUAUACGCCCUACCACUCUGUGCUACUGGCGCAAAGACUCGAAUGAGAGCUCGUCCUCGUCCAAUCCUCGACGUGACUUUUUCGAUCGACGUCAGCAUGUUUAGUCCGCGCGGACUUCUUCGUUCUCUCUCUUUCUCGCGUUCUCUAUGGCCAUAGCUAUACGAAAUGAAGGUGCUACGCGAAGCCGCAGCGAAACAUGAAAAAUAGGGGGCUACACGAGGAAAAACACGGUUGAGGGAGGAGGUGGAGAAGGUGGUGCUGGUGAAGGAUGAAGAGGAGGUGGAAGAGGACUCUGUGGGAUGGACCCUACGAACCGAAACAGCAAAGGCUGUUCAGGGUGAUGUGAUGUGGUGGUGGUGAUGGUGGCAGCGGUGGUGGUAACGGUGGCGGCGGUGGUGCUGCGCCGGUCGGAAGAUAGAAAGGCCGAGGAUGAGAAUGGAAAAGUAACAUAACGAAACGUCGAUCCCAUUACCUGAAGCUCUCUCGCUCUGCCGUACAGCGAGCCUUGCUUUCGACCCUUAAUCCAAAGAAGGAUUAGAAAACCCCAUUGUCAUGCUUCGCGGAACGCGAGAUGAGUCGUAUAUUCGUCGGUUGGUGCAUGGCGGAGGCGAUGGUGCGGGACCUACCCUUAAUGAAAUAAAUACGUGACGUACCGCGGCAACGGUGGGUUUUGUUUAUCGCGAAAACCGUGAGCGUAUUUUGCUUUGUCUCUCUCUCUUUCUCCCUUCCUCUCUUUUCUCAGGUGCGGCUCUUUAUCUCCUUUCCACCGAGUGAAGAAGGAAUAUAAGGUAGUACCGUGGAGUGUUGGCGUAGCUGUCGGUCGCGCUUGGUCGGCUGCGGUUUAUACGAGAGCCGCCUUGCCAGCCGCUUGCCGCCUGCCGCAGCCGGUUUGCGUGUUCACCGUGUUCGCUCCGUAGAUACGUGUCCUCGGUGCGGCUCUGCGCGGUACUCACCGAACUCUGGCCAAAGCGCGACCGAGAGGGAAAAGGAACGAAAGUGGCGCGUAGACGAGAAGCACGCGAGCAAGUGCAAGAGAGAUCGAACGAUACCGUGAAAAGCGAUAGCGAGAGAGACCCCAAUAAGCGGCAGAACCAGUCGCUGCGGUUGCCGCGGCUAACCACACCGAUGUUCUCAACCUGCGGCGAUCUUGCCCGAUCAUCGCGGAUCUUGCGAAUUACGAAAAGCUGCAAGAUAGUGCAACGCGAAGCGUUCGACCGUGUAAGAGGAUAGAAGUAACGCAGGAAGGAAGAUAAAGAAAAACGUGACACUAGGCCCCUUUGGAAUUUACCUUUGCGCAAGAAAAAGAGUCAACAGCUUAGAGCCUCGUUAACUCGCCAAACUUGGCCGAUGGGUAGGUAUUAUCGUUUACACGAUCUAUCCUUAUCUUAAAUCGCUACUCUUAAUAAUCUAUGGAGAUAGAUAGAAAAAGCUAAGAUACGUGGUAUCUAAACAGAUAAGUUUGUCUCUUUCCUUGGUGCGUAUCAAUCGUUGUUUCGAUAAAAAUUAGAUUGGGAAAAAGAAGUCUUUAUAUCCGGGAAUACCUUUCGAAGGAAGCGCCUCAGGUGGGCUCUCUAUUAGUGUCAUCGUAUGAGAGAAUUUCCUCCUUGAAAAUGGCGGUCUAUAUACGAAGGGGCCGACGUAAUUAAUUAUAAUUGGUUGAGUGCACCGGGCAACCGCGUCGUCUCUCUCUCUCUCUCUCUCUCUCUCUCUCUCCCUCUCUCUUUUUGAAUCUCUCUCGCUCUCGACCAGCGACCACUUUAUCCAACCGCACGAGAGGAGAUCUCGUAAGAGGCUCGACUUCUACUCGGCAACGCCAAGACUGUCGGACGUUGCCAAGAGGACGCGAUCGACCGCUUCGAGCCUCAUUAAUGUAUACCAUCGAGAGAAAAACAGGACAAACAGAGAACGAGAAAGAGAAAGAAUAAAACGAACAGCUUGAGAAGAGAUACUGACUUUAGGACCAGUCGGAUAUGCUGUGAUCCAUAGCUGAAAAGUAGUUACGAGCUACGAGCAAAAGGCUGUUCCGAGAAAACUUGAUUCGUUUUAUAGCAAGAUCGAAUCGCAAGGAGUCGACCUUCGUCGGAUCGAUCGCGAUAUAUAUAAAAAUCUUAACGAGCGGUGAGUGGUAAACAUCACGCCCAUGCCAUAACCAUUAACGCGACACGCUGCGUACAACGUGUUUUCGUACACCAUAAUCCGUGAUUCGAGGAAUCACGUUUAGUCUCUUUCUCUUUCAUCUCUCUCUCUCUCUCUUUCUCUUUCUCCGGAGCUCGAUGAAGAGCCAGCAUUAUCCCAAAGGAUCGAAUUUCUAGACGAGGCUCGAAGGGUCGACUCGAGGUCGCUCCUCGACACGGUGGUCGAUCGAGGGGAGAACAUUUGGCUAAUGUCUGCUGACUGUCGGUGGAGUAGAACCGAACUCGAUGCUUAAUGGAUAAACGAAAGCUUUCCCAGUCGAACGAUGUUAGCAAUUAAGUUCGAUGGAUCUUCAGUGCUCGUUCUUGUGAUCGAACAUGAUAUUUGCUACGUGAAAGGGCAAAAAAAAGAAAGAAAGAAAGAGAAGAUAAGGGAAGAAUGAAGUUUGGCCAAAUACAGAAGAGAAAAAAAGAAAAGAAAAGAAAAGAUGAGAAACGAUGGUUAAACGGGCUUGCUGCAACUAACGUUAUAUAAAAGUGUUCAGCAAAAUAGGAAAAAAAAAAGUUUUUGGCAAAAGAGUUUUGGCCGUGCGAGUGCGCGAGUACGUGAGUACGUUGACAAAUGUCUUCCGCGGUUCUGGCACAAAACGCGGAGUACCGUUAUCCAAAUUACAAAUAACAGCCGGCUACGUCGACGUUUUAUCCGACGGCCGGAGACAAAUUGGCUCGAGGUAGGAUGGGCCAAGCUCGAAAUUAUCUCCCUUUUCGCGGUGUAACCGCGUGUCGUUGGACUCGGUUAAUACCGGUAGUGGCUCGGCCGCUUGCUCGACCGCCUGCUCUGCUGCCUGCUAGCUCGGUCUCUUCCUCGGUCUCUUGCUCGGUCUCGUGCUCGGCACACGGAAUUAACACGACCAAGUGUAUUUAUGGAUCCAACUCCGAGCACCACCACCAUCAGCACCAGUACCAGCACCAGCAUCACCAGGUUUCCGAGCAUUGGGAGAGUCUAGCAGGAAUACAACAUAUACAUUUAAUUACUCGUUACUGUUCUUUCCUCCUAUUUCUCUUUCGAACCCUGUUCCGUAAUCUCGAAACGAAUUCGUUUCGUCUGUUGCAGUUUCUUCUCGCUCCCGAUCCUUCUCCGUUCUCCACGCUUUCAUGCUCGCACGCACGAAGCGAAUCAGCGAAUUACGACGAUUGAAAUUCAAUUCUGCGCGCAACCGAGCGGCUAAUUAGACGCAGUUGCUGUGGCAACGCCACGUGUUGCACUAGCUCGUGCGAUCGCGCGUAUACGCCCGCAUAAACGCCCGCAUCCUAGUAUCCUCCUCGCUUAGGGAACGCGGGCAAGACUUAUGUGUACAUACUCUUGCUUGCCUCUCUCUCCCUCUUUCUCUCGAUAUACCUUCAAAGGACAGGUGUAUCAAAUGAUUAAAAGCGAUUAUGCAGGUAUCUUUUUCAAGAUUUGUCAGAUAUUCUAUCAAGGGAUAUAUACUCUUUGAUUUAUAUUUUCAAAUAUAUUAAAUCUU